rnacentral:lncRNA from 1 species
AUCAAAACCCUAAAUUUUUAACACAUUAUUUCUUAUAUAUCAUGAAAACAAAAUCAAAAGGAGGAAAAAAAAAAAAAAACAGCGGAAUUUUGGUUCCGCAGACAUCUCAGUGUUCAUCUCAAAUUUCAUGCUGUAAUUGACCAAAUUACGUAAAAUUGAAAAUUUUAAAUCAUACUAGACACAAUAAAGAUUAAAAACCCUAAUUAUUGAACUCAUUAUGUUCAAAAUAUGCCAUGAAAUAAAUCAAAUGGCGGAAAAAAAAAAAAAACCCAAACUUCUUACCUGAUUUUGUGAAUCGAA